UUGAUAUUGGCUGUUACUGGUUUAAUAUUGUAGCAGGUGGUGGUUUGUUGCAAUUGCUGGUUGCUACUAUAACUUAGCUGUUACUACUGCUAAUAGUCUGCUACUGCUGCUAUUGCUGUAUCUGCUAUUCCAAUGUUGUAACUUGGUUGUUUGAAUGUGAUGAAAAAGAAAUUGUUGAACCGUUGAAACUGCCACUCUGUGUUAACCUUAACUCUCAGUGCCGAUUGGAGACUAUAUCCAGAUGCAUCCAAGUGCAGCUUAUGAUGUCAUACCCUGACCUAAGUCAUGCAUCGAUUUUCGAAAUGGAAACAAUAGAAGAACAUCGUGUGUGCGUAAAAUUUUGUGCUAAAUUAGGGAAAAGUUCUGGUGAAACUUUCGAACUUUUGAAGCAGCUUUUGGAGAUGAUGUUCUGUCUCGGACAACAUGUUUUGAGUGGUAUAAACGGUUUAAGGAAGGUAGGACAUCCAUUAAGGAUAACGAACGACCUGGUAGACCCUCGAUCAAUAAAACAAAUGAAAUUGUUGCUCUUGUUCGUGAAAUUUGAAAUAAUCGUCGAUUAACUAUCAAAAAAGUUGCAGAAGACGUCGGAAUAUAUUAUGGUUCUUGUCAAGAAAUAUUAACCAAAGAAUUGGGCAUGAGCCGAAUCGCAGCCAAAUUUGUUCCUCGUCUCUUAACCGAUGAACAAAAACAAAACCGAAAGACCAUCUCUCAAGAACUUUUUGAAAGAGCAGAAACUGACCUAGACUUUUUAAAUAAUAUUGUAACUGGUGAUGAAUUUUAGAUUUAUGGGUAUCAUGUUGAAACCAAGCGUCAAUCGUUUCAGUGAAAGUCAGCAAAUUCUCCUUAACCAAAAAAGUAAAGCAGGUGAGAUCAAAUGUGAAAGCCAUGUUAAUCACCUUUUUUUAUUUUUGUGGUAUAGUUCAUCGUGAAUGGGUGCCUCAAGGACAAACAGUAAAUCAGCAUUUUUAUUUAGAAGUCAUGAAAAGAUAACGUGAAAAUGUUAGAAAAAAAAGGGCAGAAAAUUGUAAAAGUGGUUCUUGGAUAUUGCAUCACGAUAACGUCUGGCUCACAGCUCAUAGCUCAUUCGUCAGUUCUUAGCAAAAAAUCAGACUCCAGUAGUUCCACAACUACCAUACUCACUCGAUCUGGCCCCAUGCGACUUUUUUUUGUUUCCGAAUUUAAAAUCUACGCUCCAAGGACGUAGUUUUCAAACAAUUGAUGACAUAAAACAAAAUACGGAAAUCGAUCUAAAAGACACUCCAAUUAGUGCCUACCAGGAAUGAUUCCAAAAAUGGAAAAGAAGAUGGGAGCGGUAUAUUGCUUCCCAGGGAGAUUAUUUUGAAGGCGAUAAUGUGUAUAUAGAAUAAUAUUGAGUUAAUAAAGUUUUAUUUGAAAAAUCCGGGUA